rnacentral:rRNA from 1 species
AACGAGCGCUGGCGGCAGGCUUAACACAUGCAAGUCGAACGCAUCCUUCGGGGUGAGUGGCAGACGGGUGAGUAACGCGUGGGAACGUGCCCUUCAGUUCGGGAUAACCCAGGGAAACUUGGGCUAAUACCGGAUACGUGCGAGAGCAGAAAGAUUUAUCGCUGAAGGAUCGGCCCGCGUCUGAUUAGCUAGUUGGUGGGGUAAUGGCCCACCAAGGCGACGAGCAGUAGCUGGUCUGAGAGGAUGAUCAGCCACAUUGGGACUGAGAAAAGGCCCAAACUCCUACGGGAGGCAGCAGUGGGGAAUAUUGGACAAUGGGCGCAAGCCUGAUCCAGCCAUGCCGCGUGAGUGAUGAAGGCCUUAGGGUUGUAAAGCUCUUUCGUCCGGGACGAUAAUGACGGUACCGGAAGAAGAAGCCCCGGCUACCUUCGUGCCAGCCGCCGCCGUAACAC